GCAGCAGCCGCGGGAAUACGAAGGGGGCAAGCGUUGUUCGGAAUUACUGGGCGUAAAGGGCGCGUAGGCGGUGUACUAAGUUAGGCGUGAAAGCCCUGGGCUCAACCCGGGAAUUGCGCUUGAUACUGGUACGCUUGAAUCCAGGAGAGGUUGGUGGAAUUCCCAGUGUAGAGGUGAAAUUCGUAGAGAUUGGGAAGAACACCGGUGGCGAAGGCGGCCAACUGGACUGGUAUUGACGCUGAGGCGCGAAAGCGUGGGGAGCAAACAGGAUUAGAUACCCCUGUAGUCCCUGUCUCUUAUAC
rnacentral:rRNA from 1 species